rnacentral:rRNA from 1 species
AUUGAACGCUGGCGGCAGGCCUAACACAUGCCAGUCGAGCGGAUGAAGGGAGCUUGCUCCUGGAUUCAGCGGCGGACGGGUGAGUAAUGCCUAGGAAUCUGCCUGGUAGUGGGGGAUAACGUCCGGAAACGGGCGCUAAUACCGCAUACGUCCUGAGGGAGAAAGUGGGGGAUCUUCGGGCCUCACGCUAUCAGAUGAGCCUAGGUCGGAUUAGCUAGUUGGUGGGGUAAAGGCCUACCAAGGCGACGAUCCGUAACUGGUCUGAGAGGAUGAUCAGUCACACUGGAACUGAGACACGGUCCAGACUCCUACGGGAGGCAGCAGUGGGGAAUAUUGGACAAUGGGCGAAAGCCUGAUCCAGCCAUGCCGCGUGUGUGAAGAAGGUCUUCGGAUUGUAAAGCACUUUAAGUUGGGAGGAAGGGCAGUAAGUUAAUACCUUGCUGUUUUGACGUUACCAACAGAAUAAGCACCGGCUAACUUCGUG